GGCCUCUGUGGUGUAGUGGUAGCACGCCCCAUUCCCCUCGGGUAUGGGUGAAACGCGGGUUCAACUCCCGCCCGAGGUCG